UACGUAGGGAGCAAGCGUUGUCCGGAAUCAUUGGGCGUAAAGCGCGCGUAGGCGGCCCUGUAAGUCCGUUGUGAAAGUCAAAGGCUCAACCUUUGAAAGCCGAUGGAUACUGCAGGGCUAGAGUCCGGAAGAGGCGAGUGGAAUUCCUGGUGUAGCGGUGGAAUGCGCAGAUAUCAGGAGGAACACCUAUGGCGAAGGCAGCUCUCUGGGACGGUACUGACGCUGAGACGCGAAAGCGUGGGGAGCGAACAGG
rnacentral:rRNA from 1 species